GCGAGUGAAGCGGCAAUAGCUCAAAUUUGAAAUCUGGCGCCUUCGGUGUCCGAGUUGUAAUUUGAAGAAGGUAUCUUUGGUUUUGGCUCUUGUCUAUGUUCCUUGGAACAGGACGUCACAGAGGGUGAGAAUCCCGUGCGAUGAGAUGCCCAAUUCCAUGUAAAGUUCCUUCGACGAGUCGAGUUGUUUGGGAAUGCAGCUCUAAGUGGGUGGUAAAUUCCAUCUAAAGCUAAAUAUUGGCGAGAGACCGAUAGCGAACAAGUACUGUGAAGGAAAGAUGAAAAGAACUUUGAAAAGAGAGUGAAAAAGUACGUGAAAUUGUUGAAAGGGAAGGGCUUGAGGUCAGACUUGGUUUUACCAGGCCAGCAUCAGUUUGGAUGGCAGGAUAAUAGCUAAGAAAAGUGGCACCACUUCGGUGGUGUGUUAUAGUCUUGGUUGAUACUGCCUGUCUAGACUGAGGACUGCGUCUUUGACUAGGAUGCUGGCAUAAUGACCUUAAGCCGCCC
rnacentral:rRNA from 1 species